rnacentral:misc_RNA from 1 species
GAAUAGGAUAGGGCAGAACAUGCUUGAUAAAUCUGAUGCUGUUGCGAAAGUGGCAUUUGAGUCUGUAGGGAGAUUGUUUCAGGAGUUUGAAUCGAAAAGGAUGAGUCGUUUGGCUGGUGAUAAGCUAGUGGAUAGUGAAAAUUCUGUUGCUAUUAGGUCUAAUUGGGUUUCUUCUAUGGUGGAUUUUGUUUGGAGAAGAAGGAAUGCGUUAAUGGCGCGGUCAUUGGUUCUCCCCAUAGAGAAUUUUCGAGCUACAGUUUGUCCGCUUGUGUAUGCUGUAAAGGCAGUAGCUUCGGGUUCGUUAGAGGUGAUCAAGAAGUUAUCGAGGUCUUCCAAGAAUGGGAAUGCAAGUUCAUUAGACACUGUGAAUGUGGAGAAGUUUGUGGGUGUGUCUGAUGUUGUUUCACAUUUGGCACCUUUUCUAGCAUCAUCACUGGAUCCAUCAUUGAUAUUUGAGGUGGGGAUUAACAUGUUAUACUUGGCUGAUGUUCCUGGAGGGAAACCCGAGUGGGCAUCCACAUCCAUCAUUGCAAUUCUCACUCUUUGGGAUAGACAAGAGUUUUCUUCUGCAAGAGAGAGUAUCGUUAGAGCUGUUGUCACCAAUUUGCAUCUUCUUGAUCUCAGUAUGCAGGUUUCUUUAUUUAAUAAGCUGCUUCUUAUGGUGAGAAACCUGAGAGCAGAGUCAGAUCGCAUGCAUGCAUUAGCAUGCAUUUGUCGAACCGCUCUCUGUGUUGAUCUUUUUGCAAAAGAGAGUGUUAGAAGAGGGCAAAAACCUGUUCCUGGAACCGAUAUUGCUUCACUUUUUGAGAAUGCAAGAAUAAAAGAGGACCUCCAUAGUGUAACAAGUAAAACCUUGUUUAGAGAAGAACUAGUUGCAAUGCUGGUGGAGAGCUGCUUUCAGUUAUCACUGCCACUUCCUGAACAAAAAAAUUCAGGUAUGGAGAGCAGAGUUAUUGGAGCUUUAGCAUAUGGAACUGGUUAUGGUGCAUUAAACUGGACAGAACCAGCUUUGGAAGUGGUGGAAGUUUGUAGACCAUGUGUCAAAUGGGAUUGUGAAGGUCGAACAUAUGCUAUUGACUGCUAUUUGAAGUUGCUUGUCAGGCUUUGUCACAUUUAUGAUACAAGAGGAGGUGUGAAAAGAGUCAAAGAUGGGGCUUCUCAGGACCAGAUUCUGAAUGAAACGCGGUUGCAGAAUUUGCAAAGGGAUCUUGUCAAAGAUCUACGUGAGGUGAACACUCCUAGAAUAUGUACUCGACUUAUUUGGGCUAUCUCAGAGCAUAUUGAUCUAGAAGGUUUGGAUCCACUUCUGGCUGAUGAUCCAGAAGAUCCCCUGAAUAUAAUAAUAUCAAAUAUCCACAAAGUUCUCUUCAAUAUAGAUUCGUCUGCCAGCAGCACAAAUCGCCUUCAAGAUGUUCAAGCAGUUCUUCUGUGUGCUCAGAGGUUGGGAUCACGUAAUCCCAGGGCAGGGCAAUUGCUAAUAAAAGAACUUGAAGAGUUUAGGACCAAUGCAUUAGCUGACUCAGUGAACAAACAUCAGUGUCGGUUAAUACUGCAGAGGAUCAAAUAUGUCACCAACCACUCGGAAAGCAAGUGGGCUGGGGUUGGUGAAGCAAGAGGAGAUUAUCCAUUUAGCCAUCACAAGUUAACAGUUCAGUUUUAUGACGCAUCUGCUGCUCAGGACCGAAAACUGGAAGGAUUGGUGCACAAGGCUAUUUUAGAGCUUUGG